rnacentral:tRNA from 1 species
GCCGAUUUAGCUCAUCCGGUAGAGCAACGCACUCGUAACGCGUAGGUGGCUGGUUCAAGUCCGGCAAUCGGCACCA